rnacentral:rRNA from 2 species
UACGUAGGCAGCAAACGUUGUUCGGAGUUACUGGGCGUAAAGAGUACGUAGGCGGUUUGCCAAGUUUGGUGUGAAAUCUCCUGGCUUAACUGGGAGGGUGCGCCGAAUACUGGCGAGCUUGAGUAUUGGAGAGGAAAGCGGAAUUCCUGGUGUAGCGGUGAAAUGCGUAGAUAUCAGGAGGAACACCGGUGGUGUAGACGGCUUUCUGGACAAUCACUGACGCUGAGGUACGAAAGCGUGGGUAGCAAACAGG